rnacentral:rRNA from 1 species
ACCAGACUCCUACGGGAGGCAGCAGUGGGGGAUAUUGCACAAUGGGGGGAACCCUGAUGCAGCGACGCCGCGUGGGUGAAGAAGCGCCUCGGCGCGUAAAGCCCUGUCAGCAGGGAAGAAAAUGACGGUACCUGAAGAAGAAGCCCCGGCUAACUACGUGCCAGCAGCCGCGGUAAUACGUAGGGGGCAAGCGUUAUCCGGAUUUACUGGGUGUAAAGGGGGCGCAGACGGCGAUGCAAGCCAGGAGUGAAAGCCCGGGGCCCAACCCCGGGACUGCUCUUGGAACUGCGUGGCUGGAGUGCAGGAGAGGCAGGCGGAAUUCCUGGUGUAGCGGUGAAAUGCGUAGAUAUCAGGAGGAACACCGGUGGCGAAGGCGGCCUGCUGGACUGCAACUGACGUUGAGGCCCGAAAGCGUGGGGAGCAAACAGGAUUAGAUACCCCGGUAAUC